AUUGUACUCCCUCCGUUCGGAAAUACUUGUCAUUCAAAUGGACAAAAAAUGAUGUAUCUAGAACUAAAAUACAUCUAGAUACAUCCCCUUUUAUUCAUUUUGAUGACAAGUAUUUCCGGACGGAGGGAGUAGUCU
rfam:Triticum aestivum genome assembly, contig: Triticum_aestivum_CS42_TGACv1_scaffold_049609_1BS